rnacentral:rRNA from 1 species
CGCUGAAGGAGGAGCUUGCUUCUCUGGAUGAGUUGCGAACGGGUGAGUAACGCGUAGGUAACCUGCCUGGUAGCGGGGGAUAACUAUUGGAAACGAUAGCUAAUACCGCAUAAUAGUAGAUGUUGCAUGACAUUUGCUUAAAAGGUGCAAUUGCAUCACUACCAGAUGGACCUGCGUUGUAUUAGCUAGUUGGUGGGGUAACGGCUCACCAAGGCGACGAUACAUAGCCGACCUGAGAGGGUGAUCGGCCACACUGGGACUGAGACACGGCCCAGACUCCUACGGGAGGCAGCAGUAGGGAAUCUUCGGCAAUGGACGGAAGUCUGACCGAGCAACGCCGCGUGAGUGAAGAAGGUUUUCGGAUCGUAAAGCUCUGUUGUAAGAGAAGAACGAGUGUGAGAGUGGAAAGUUCACACUGUGACGGUAUCUUACCAGAAAGGGACGGCUAACUACGUGCCAGCAGCCGCGGUAAUACGUAGGUCCCGAGCGUUGUCCGGAUUUAUUGGGCGUAAAGCGAGCGCAGGCGGUUAGAUAAGUCUGAAGUUAAAGGCUGUGGCUUAACCAUAGUACGCUUUGGAAACUGUUUAACUUGAGUGCAAGAGGGGAGAGUGGAAUUCCAUGUGUAGCGGUGAAAUGCGUAGAUAUAUGGAGGAACACCGGUGGCGAAAGCGGCUCUCUGGCUUGGUACUGACGCUGGGGCUCGAAAGCGUGGGGAGC